rnacentral:rRNA from 1 species
UACGUAGGGCGCAAGCGUUGUCCGGAAUUAUUGGGCGUAAAGAGCUCGUAGGCGGCUUGUCACGUCGAUUGUGAAAGCCCGAGGCUUAACCUCGGGUCUGCAGUCGAUACGGGCUAGCUAGAGUGUGGUAGGGGAGAUCGGAAUUCCUGGUGUAGCGGUGAAAUGGGCAGAUAUCAGGAGGAACACCGGUGGCGAAGGCGGGUCUCUGGGCCGAUACUGACGCUGAGGAGCGAAAGCGUGGGGAGCGAACAGG